CUUGUUUCUAAGGAUUGAAAUUAGAAUUAGGUUUCUUUCAAUUCUCAAGAAAGAAGUGAAGAUCAGAUCGGCUGUGAGCUUGUGGCUGCGACUGCGAGUACUGCGAUAGAGAUGGCGUCACGGCGACUUCACGACCUCGGCACCGAAGACUUUCAAGUGUGACGGCUUGUUUCCUCAUUUUUGAUCUCCAUUCUUCAAUCUUCAACUCUUCAACAGGUUCACAACUUCUCCAUUCUUCAAUCUUCAGUUUGUAACUUUGUAUUCUGUAACCAAUAGCUUAUUUUUUGGGUGCAAAAGGCUAUAUAUACUGUAAACAAAUUUCGUCCCAACUUGCUAAGAAAUUAAGCCGAAUGCAGAAACUUAGAAUGCCUUUUUAGUUAGAGCAGAACAUUUGAUGAAAUAUUCUUGUGUUGAUCCUUUUAGAUAAGCCUAAGAGCUAAGGUAUGUGAUAAACAAUUGAAUAUCUGAAAUUGUUGUACUUUGAAAGUUAUUAAGGACCUCUUCUAUAUCAUUCCAAGCAAAUUGCAACCAGGCAGGAUGUGUGAGGCAAAUAUAAAUAAAUUCUUUUAUGCUUUGCUUUGAACGCAAUGUUAAAAAGAUCGAAAAAUUGGCCAAACCAAAAUCAGAUUCUAAAGCUUUUAUGCGAAUCACUUUGCAAGUACCAUUAAAAAAAUAAAUUGUAUACAUGGAAUACUGGAAUCUCUGGUUUCUUCCCUUUUCAUUUUCAUGCAUAUAACACACAGGAAGAACUGGCAGUAAUUGUUGAGACAUGAUUCGAAACUAAGCCAAUAGUAUUACAGGUUGUGUCUCCAUCUGCGCUUUAGUAUAAUUAAAGGUGCAAUAUUUACUGCUAAGAAAAUAAUUAAUAAGGAGUAUAUCAGUAUAUCUAAACUCAAAUCUAGUCUCAAUUUGUGUUUUACUGUUUGUAUUAGUUUUAAUUUUGUAUAGAUUGUAGAUGUAAGUAGAGUAAGUGAUGCCGAUUCAACUGAAAGAUUACCUAUUACGGAAGAUAGCAACACCAACACAAUUGAUACUCAAGAUUUCAAGAAAAGAAAAGCCAUAGAACCUAGAUCCGAAGUUUGGAAACAUUUUGAUAAAUUUGAGUUGGUGAAAAAUACAUGCUCCUAGAUUUCCUAUUCUUUCAGAGUUGGCUCGUGAUGUGUUGGCCAUUCCAAUUUCUAGUGUAGCGUCGGAAUAUGUGUUUAGCCUCGGUGGUCGUAUUCUUGAUUUAUUUAGGAGUUCAUUGACUCCUAAAUGCGUGCAAGCUCUUGUUUGUGUUCAAUAUUGACUUAGAGAAGAGAAGAAUCAUAUUAGUGUUGAAGAAGACUUGGAGUAUCUUGAGGAACUCGAGCUUGAUAUGGAAAAUAAUGAAAGCACUACUACCAUUGUUUGAUCACUUUGAUAUAUAGGUUCAACUUGAGUGGUUCAAGUUCAAUCAUGCCCUGUGCUCCUAAAGUACGCUCUCAUAUUUGGGAACACUUUGAGGUGGUAGAAGAUAACAGAGAAGUUCGCACUAUGUUGAUGUUGUUGUUGCUUGCCGGCUUAUUAGUUAAACUUACAACUUUAUGUUUGGCAGAAUGGCAGUAGCCAGUAGGUUUGCAAACUUUGCAUAAUAUUGCUGUUGUGACUUGUGAGCCUAUGGAACUUUAGUUGUUAUUACUUAUUAGUAUAAACUUAAAUUCUGUUUGGCAGGUUUA